rnacentral:rRNA from 1 species
GAUGAACGCUGGCGGCGUGCCUAAUACAUGCAAGUCGAGCGAACAGACGAGGAGCUUGCUCCUCUGACGUUAGCGGCGGACGGGUGAGUAACACGUGGAUAACCUACCUAUAAGACUGGGAUAACUUCGGGAAGCCGGAGCUAAUACCGGAUAAUAUAUUGAACCGCAUGGUUCAAUAGUGAAAGACGGUUUUGCUGUCACUUAUAGAUGGAUCCGCGCCGCAUUAGCUAGUUGGUAAGGUAACGGCUUACCAAGGCAACGAUGCGUAGCCGACCUGAGAGGGUGAUCGGCCACACUGGAACUGAGACACGGUCCAGACUCCUACGGGAGGCAGCAGUAGGGAAUCUUCCGCAAUGGGCGAAAGCCUGACGGAGCAACGCCGCGUGAGUGAUGAAGGUCCUCGGAUCGUAAAACUCUGUUAUUAGGGAAGAACAAAUGUGUAAGUAACUAUGCACGUCUUGACGGUACCUAAUCAGAAAGCCACGGCUAACUACGUG